UUUACGAACACAAUUAAAUUU
ensembl:piRNA 21ur-7279 ncRNA